CCUCCUUCUUUCCUCCUCUCUGUUCUGCGCCGCGGCACGCACGCGUCGCCACGCGCCGGCCAUCCCCGGCUUCCGUGCCGCGCGCGUCCUCCGCUCGCCCCAUCCUCCACGACGACGCCGCGGCCUUAUCCUUUCCCCGCUGCCGUGUUCUCCUUCUCCUCCCCAUCUUCCUCCUCCUGGAACUCGAGCAGAGCUCGCCCCCAUCGCCGCGCCGACGAACUCCGGCCGCCGUUCCUCGAUUUCGCGCGCCCACGGCCCCCUCACCUCGCCCUCCACCUCCUCCAGCCUCCUCGAGCUCGCUCCCGCGUUUUCCCGGCGGAAUCGAGUCCGCGCCGCCCGGCCGCCAUUGACGCCGCCGCGAGGAGCUCCGUCGGCCGCCGUCGAUUCGCCGUCUCCGGGCCGUUGGCGCAGCCCUCCGCCCGCCGCCGCUGUUCGUCGUCGCGCCGCCCCGUCGUCGCUCCUCUCCGCCCGUGCCGUUGUUGGUGAGCUUUGCUGUCGCCUGGAACAUGCCUUGCGCGCGCCUCCGGCCCCUCUCCAGCCCUGCUUCGCCGCGCCGCCGUCCGCCGCGUCGCGCGCGUCGUGGGUCUGUUCGUGGACACGAAGAAGAUGAGCAGUGUGACUGAACCGUCGGAGAACGAACCCGUUGAGCCUGCCGAGUCCGUCGAGCCUGAACCCGGAAUCCCGUUCAUGGUCGAGCCCGAAGUUAACCCAGGCAAGCAGCUAAGCAUGAUUCUUUACUCCUAUUUAAUCUGAGUUAGUUAGUUACAUCACCGGGUAAUAUGGGGUUAUAUAGUAUGUAUGUAUUGCAUUUUGAUACCUAUUCUCUUGCAUUACCCUUCCUUGAAUUGUUAUCCAUGUCCUUGUCACUUGUUAGUCAGUUAAUAACUUAAUCUGAUUAGAUGCUUAGCCCUGCUUAGAAUACUCAUAUUGCUUGCUCGAAAGGAAUGGUUUGGAGUAUCACACUUACCUGAUUAUCCUUGAGUGCACUUGAGUAUCUGGGACAAGUGGAGUGCAGUAUCGAGAUUCGAGCGGAA